rnacentral:lncRNA from 1 species
GUUGUCAAUGUCAAUGUCAAACUAUUUUAGAAAUCUUAAUUUUUUGUGCUUUCGGUUUUUUCCUAACUUUAAAUUUAAUUCAUUUAAUUUAAAAUGGAUGAUCCCGAUUUGGAAACGAUAAGAAAACAAAGAUUAGCUCAAUUACAGUCACAAUAUGGAGAAGGUGAUCCAAAUAAUCAGAAAGCCAAGGAAG